rnacentral:rRNA from 1 species
AACGAACGCUGGCGGCAGGCCUAACA